rnacentral:rRNA from 1 species
AUUGAACGCUGGCGGCAUGCUUUACACAUGCAAGUCGAACGGCAGCGCGGGCUUCGGCCUGGCGGCGAGUGGCGAACGGGUGAGUAAUGCAUCGGAACGUGCCCAGUAGUGGGGGAUAGCCCGGCGAAAGCCGGAUUAAUACCGCAUACGACCUGAGGGUGAAAGCGGGGGACCGAAAGACCUCGCGCUAUUGGAGCGGCCGAUGUCGGAUUAGCUAGUUGGUGGGGUAAAGGCUUACCAAGGCGACGAUCCGUAGCUGGUCUGAGAGGACGACCAGCCACACUGGGACUGAGACACGGCCCAGACUCCUACGGGAGGCAGCAGUGGGGAAUUUUGGACAAUGGGGGCAACCCUGAUCCAGCCAUGCCGCGUGCGGGAAGAAGGCCUUCGGGUUGUAAAGCGCUUUUGUUCGGGAAGAAAGCCUCUGGGCUAAUACCCCGGUGGGAUGACGGUACCGGAAGAAUAAGCACCGGCUAACUACGUG